rnacentral:rRNA from 1 species
AACGAACGCUGGCGGCAUGCCUAACUCAUGCAAGUCGAACGAGGCCUUCGGGUCUAGUGGCGCACGGGUGCGUAACGCGUGGGAACCUGCCCUUAGGUUCGGAAUAACUCCCCGAAAGGGGUGCUAAUACCGGAUAAUGUCUUCGGACCAAAGAUUUAUCGCCUUUGGAUGGGCCCGCGUUGGAUUAGCUAGUUGGUAGGGUAAAAGCCUACCAAGGCGACGAUCCAUAGCUGGUCUGAGAGGAUGAUCAGCCACACUGGGACUGAGACACGGCCCAGACUCCUACGGGAGGCAGCAGUGGGGAAUAUUGGACAAUGGGCGAAAGCCUGAUCCAGCAAUGCCGCGUGAGUGAUGAAGGCCUUAGGGUUGUAAAGCUCUUUUACCCGGGAUGAUAAUGACAGUACCGGGAGAAUAAGCUCCGGCUAACUCCGU